CUAGAACCGGCUGCCUCUAAUUGGAGAUCAUCCCAAUAACCCCCAACAUAGAAAUAGAAAUCUAGAAAACCCACAUAGAAACAGAAAGCAAGAAAACCACCCAAAACACCCCCUGUCAUGCCCUGACCACUCUACUAUAGAAAAUGACCCCUUACAAGGGUCAGGACGUGACACCCGUAGGAUUUGUAGUUUUAUCCGAAUAGAGAAACCCACAGGAUUUUCAUAAAUCGUGGUCUUGGAGGCAUGAUAAUAAUUAUUCAGGGUACAGUUGUAACGGCUGUCUGAAGAGAGAGUAGACCAAGGUGCAGCGGAGUUAGUGUUCAUCUUCAGGAAUGUAUUAAACAACGUGAACACUAUACAAAAACAAGAAAACCGACAGCCUAACAGUACUGUCAGGUGCAAACACGAAACAGAAACAAUCCCCCACAAAACCCAAAGGAAAAACAGGCUCCUUAUGUGUGACUCCCAAUCAGCAACAACGAACGACAGCUGUGCCUGAUUGGGAGCCACACACGGCCCAAAACAAAGAAAUACAAAACCAUAGAAAAAUUAACAUAGAACGCCCACCCAAUGUAACACCCUGGCCUAACCAAAAAUGAAGAACAAAAACCCCUCUCUAUGGCCAGGGCGUUACAACAGUCUACUCUAGAUUUACUGACAAACAAGGUUAACAACAGCCACUAAGGAUAAGUUUAGGUGGUGGUACUGGUACUGGUGGUGUGUGUGUGUGUGUGGGUGGUGGUGAAAAACACUGAAUGUCAGAUUUUCUUGUCAUGACACCUGAGAUGUUUUUCCACACCAACUCAGCCUGACAGGGAUGGUGGAGGGCAUCAACUUGUCACAUUAACAAGACAUGACUACAACAAUAACAGGACAUGUGAGCUGUCAAGUCUCUGGCCUCACUGCUUCAAAGGAAUGGCCAGCGGUGGCACAGAGGAAUGGAGUGGCCUCUCUCUCUCUCUUUCUCUCUUUCUCUCUUUCUCUCUUUUUCUCUCUCUCUCUCUGUUACCUGAUCCACAGCAGUGUCAUGUUUGGGUGUCUAUUUCUCUGGCUCAAAACAAAAACUGUCACCGGGCUAGAGUGAGAGACAUAGAGAGUGGGAAAGAUAUCUAAAAUCACACCACAUCCUGGGUAACAACACUUGCUGGCUGGCCACAUGUCUUUUCCUCUAGACAGGCUGCCCUGACCCCUGACCCCAGACUCUCCGGGUAUGGUCUUUUUACCUCAUCUGACUUUGAUUGUUUGUGAUCUCCAUAUCUGUCACGUUCACGACAGAAGUUUAACUAAGCACUAACCACUGUAUGUUGACCAAGAAAACAAUUGAUCCGGCAUGUGAUCGAAUAAUCUAUCAUAGAGAGUUUAUUAUAGACUUAUUAACAAGUGUCUCUCGGACCUGAAGUAUAAUUGGUCAUAAGACUAUAAGCAAACAAGUAAUGUCCACACGGUUAAGGGAAACACUGUGUACCUUGUCUCUUCCAG
rnacentral:lncRNA from 1 species